AUGUUAAAGCGAGUGAUCUUUUUACCGCUUCGUUCAUUCAUUCACUCAUUCAUUCACUCACUGCAGACCUCGGACCUUUCUGACCCUCAGUUCACCCCAUUGUCAAAUGGUUGUGAAGGUUACCGACAGCGUAGGUAAGAUACUUUCAGAAAUUAGAAACUAAAAACUAAAAAUAACAGAAAGCACUCACUGUUCUGAUCGCCUACGGUGUAAUCUGGAAUUGAGUGCCCUGUUCUGCCUUCAGACCUGCUGUAGAACAUGCUGUCGUUUGCUGUUCGACUUGUAGCAGAGUUUAGAGUUUUUCUCACAGGUACAGCUCCCUGUGCUUGAUUCUGUGUGGAAAUCGUAGCUUUGAGCUGCACUCUUCUCUCUCUCGGUUCUCGUUUGGAGUUUUCUAAGAGGUAAAUACAUGCUGUCAAGCUCUAGCGUGAUACCUGUCACAGGAUAGGAAGCCAAUCCAAGUUUCACUCUAAGUGGGGAGUGUAGGUUGCUACAGUGUGUUUGGAGGGUGAUUCGACAGUACUUUUCCAGAUUUUCAGUUUGCAUAUCCUUCUUUCCAGCAGUUCUACUUCUGGGACUUGCGAUAUAGUUGUCUACAUGCAUGAGGAUGUUUACAUUGCAGCCUGUCUGUUAACAGAGGACAAAGAAACUGAACACAACUAAAAGCCCCUGGACAGUGUCCUGGUUAUGUAAAUUAUGGUACUUAUAAUCACUGGAAUACUAUGAAGCCAUUAACAAGAAUAGAACGGACGUAUGCCUCAAUUGACUGGGAAAUGCACUGUCCGAGGUAUAUUGUAGACUAGGUAUAGUACGCUGCUUUUCUGUAAAACAGAGGAUAUGCAUAGAGGUAGAAAGAAGCGUUUGUAUACAGUAUACGAUGUGUGAAUGUGAGCUCUUGGAAGAUAUCUGGAAGAACCACACAAGGAACUGGGGGAGUGGGACUUGACUGUUCCUUCCCGGUCCUGGACUGCUGGAAAUCUGCAGGCGAUGGCGUACACGCCCCCGUCUGCAUGAGCUGUGCUAGCGGCCUGCGGCGAGAGAGGGCGCCGUAGCCAGCAGAGUCCUGUUUCCUAGCGGAGCAUCUCAGGCCUCCGGCGCGGUGACGUCCUGGGGACGGGCGGUGGCGCAUGCGCGGUUGGAAGGCUGCUGGGCGCCGAGCGGGCUGCUGCGCGGGCGCUUGCGGGCCGGGCUGUUUUUCCGGCAGCGAGGGCGCUGGAGUGGCGGCUUUGGCGCUGUUGGCGUUGGGUGGUGGGCCUGUUGGGGCCCACGUGAGCCGAUGGCAUCACGCCCGCGGCGGCCGGGGCCAGGGGCGCGUCUUUUCCAGACUUGGCACGUCCAGGAGGCGGGGCGGAAACCACAUCCCCGAAAGAGUUUGGAAGGCAGUCUUGCUCCGGGAGAACUUUCCUUCUCCCUUGAAUCUUUUUAGCAAAAUCCAAGAACGGAGUGAAGAACUUGGACUGACGAUUGUUUGAAGCUACACUCACCGCUGUUGUAAAGCAGAGCCUGUGAAUCUUGUUACCUCUGCGGUCUGCCUGCCUGAGUUGAAACCCCGGCUCUCGCACUAGCGAGCUCUUCGUCUUGGGCAAAUUCUUGACGCUCUCCAAGCCUGUCUCCUCAUCUGUGAAAUGGGCUGCCCCACAAGGCCUAGCACGGAGCGCCUGUGGACCCCUGGGCGCCUGCGUCCUGCGCCGUUGGAGUGGCGACUCGGUGCACGUGUGUGUCCCCCGCUGUCACCCCGUGGGAUGGACGCCUUCCAGCGGAUUUUUCUCCUGCGGUUUGGGUGAUGGCGAUGUUUGGAGAAGGCAGCAACUGGCCGAUUGGAUGGAGGAGGACCUGGCGGGCCCCUCAAGUCAUUAUUUAUGAAGAGACAUAUUUCUAACGAAGAUAUACAGGUGGGCGACAGGCACAGGAAAAGAUGCUCAACGUCACUACUUAUUAGGAAAAUACAAAUGAAAAGCACAAUGAGAUACCCACCUCAGGCCGGUCAGAAGGGCUAGUAGAAAAAGACAAGAAUUAACAGGUCUUGGAAGUACGUGGUGCAAAGGGAACCCUAGUACCCUGCUGGUGGGAGUGUAAAUUGGUACAGCCGCUGUGGAAAACCGUAUGAAGAUUUUUCAAAAAGUUAACAAUAGAACUACCCCGUAUGAUCCAGCUAUUCCACUUCUGGGUGUUCAUCCAAAGCACACAAAAGCGCUAAUUCAAAAAGAUAUAUGAACCCCUGUGUUCAUCGCAGCGUUAUUCAGAACAGCCAAGACUUGGAAACAACCUAAGUGCCCAUCGCCCGACAAAUAGAUAAAGAAGUUGUGGGAGAUAUACACAAGGGAAUAUAGUACUUAGCCGUAGAAAAGAGGAAAUCUUGCCAUUUGCGACAGCAGGGAUGGACCUCGGGCGUAUUACGCUAAGCGGGAUGAGUCAGGUGGAGAAAGACAGAUACCGUGUGACUUCACUCGUGUAUGUGGAAGGUAAACAAGCAAACACAUAGAGACAGAACAGACUGGUGGUUAGCAGAAGGAAAAGGGCGGGAGGAGGGGGAAGGGGGAUAAGGGGCAGCUGUGUACGAUGACGGAUGGCAGUUAGAGCUGUGGCGGGGAACACGACGUAGUCUGUGCAGAAGGCGAACUAUAAUGAUGCACAUCGAAGAAUAAAAUCUAGGCCCCUUCCAGAAGUUGGAUGCCGUCCACCAGUAAGCUCCGGAUGCUGUGCUCUGAAAGCCGGGUGGGUCCCCAACAGGCGCUAGCCAGUACUGAGGACUGCCCUGGCGUAGAGGCCCCUCGGCUUGAGGCCUUGCUCCUUCGCGUGCAGUGUGAGCUGAGCCCACUGCUGACCCUCAGUGGUGAAGUGGCUCAGUGACCCUGGCCUUGCAUGUGGUGGCAAAGGUUACGUGAGGUGGUGCGUUCGCGGGCCUGGUGCGCAGGUGUUGAGGAAAUGGUGAUUUCUAUCCCA